UGGGGAAUAUUGGACAAUGGGCGAAAGCCUGAUCCAGCCAUGCCGCGUGAGUGAUGAAGGCCCUAGGGUUGUAAAGCUCUUUCAACGGUGAAGAUAAUGACGGUAACCGUAGAAGAAGCCCCGGCUAACUUCGUGCCAGCAGCCGCGGUAAUACGAAGGGGGCUAGCGUUGUUCGGAAUUACUGGGCGUAAAGCGCACGUAGGCGGAUUGUUAAGUCGGGGGUGAAAUCCCGGGGCUCAACCCCGGAACUGCCUUCGAUACUGGCAAUCUAGAGUCCGGAAGAGGUGAGUGGAAUUCCGAGUGUAGAGGUGAAAUUCGUAGAUAUUCGGAGGAACACCAGUGGCGAAGGCGGCUCACUGGUCCGGUACUGACGCUGAGGUGCGAAAGCGUGGGGAGCAAACA
rnacentral:rRNA from 1 species